rnacentral:ncRNA from 2 species
UAUUCCAAGGAGCGUUGCAGCACGGUGUUCCACAUCGUGUCAGGCUUGGAUAUCUUUUUCGCAACGGCGCUCACGUUAC